GCCGAUUGCAUACCACCCUGAGAGCAUCCAGUCUCGUCUGAUCUUGCGAUCUAAGAAUGGUCUGGCCCGGUUAGUACUUAGAUGGGAGACCGCCUGGGAAUACUGGGUGCAGUAGGCU
rnacentral:rRNA from 1 species